rnacentral:lncRNA from 1 species
GCUUCAGAGAGAAUAGAUGUUAAAUGGCUCUUAUCAGACCUAAGAAGGUGCUAGCCUCUUAGUUAAUCUCUCCUGAAUCAGGAAAAGUCCUGGAAAGGGAGGGGAAUUCUCUAGAGAAUGUAAAGACCACUUUACAGGGCCAUUUCAGAAUAUCUCAAAAAAUAUAUUUUGAGGUAAAAUAUUUCCGUUUCUUUCAGGGCCUGCCAUCUGUCAUGUGAUGCUAUACGAGAGUCAGGUUGGAAUUUGGUAUCUUCUGGCUACAAAGAGUCUGUUUGAUCAGCCUUACAAUCUCUGUUUUAAUGUUAAUGCUGGUCCAUUGUGCCUGAAUUCCAAAGGAAGGAGGGCAUAAAAAGGCAUGUCCAACCCCUGCUUCCCAUCAUGGCCUGAACUAGUUUUUCAGGUUUACUUUGGAAUCCCCUUGGCUGAGAGGAGGGAUCCAUUCAGUCAGUCAGAGGGCUUAGAAUUUUAUUUUGGGGGCUGGGCGCAGUGGUUCAUGCCUGUAAUCCCAACACUUUGGGAGACCAAGGCAGGCAGAUCACUUGAGGUCAGGACUUUGAGACCUGCCUGGCCAACAUGGAGAAACCCUGUCUCUACUAAAAAGCUCGCUUCUGCUUUCCAGGGCUUGUCCUGGCCUUCUCACCUUAAAGGGGCCUUUCCCCACCCUCCUUACUUUGUUUCAGCAAACAAUGAUAUUUAAGCCUGAAGUUUAUACUCUUUUUUUUUUAAGAUCGACUCGUUUCUUUGGGUCAUCUCCCACGUAUACAGGAGGGAUAAAUGUUUUUAAAUUUCUGUUUGUUUUCUCUUGUGCAUCUGUCUUUUGUUAUAGGGAGUCCCGGCUAAGAAUUAUGAAGGACAGAGAGAAAAUUCUUUUUCCUACCCUGCAGAAUCAAUAAGACAGACUGACAACUGCGCAGAAAAAUAAGCAAGGCUAUCAACAGACAGUCCCCAGUAAAACAAAAACAAACACUCACUAGUCUUAAAUAGAUGAGAAGCUCAAUCUCACUUGUGGAAAAAAUGAAAAUUAUGCAAGAGCUUCCCUUUUCUAUCUAUCAGACUCUGGCAAGGGGAAGAGGCUUUAAGUGCCUGCAUGAGGCGGCGCUUAGUGUUUAUAUUUACUGUGUACUCUUAAGUCUUAGGGCCUUUUUGAAUUUUAUACCAUGGGCAUGUUUUGCCUUUUCAAAAAUAAAGGUGUUUUAAGUGCAAGUAUGCAGAAGUCCUAAGCAAAAGGGUUUGAAAUGGAGAAGUUGCAGGUAUUACCUCUUCUCCCAUGGGGGCAGCUGCUCAUUCACUCAUGUCACUGACACUCCCUGAGCAACUGCAGUGCCUGGCAUUGUUCUGGGCCCCGGGAAACGGCUGUGAAAAAGGCAAAGUCCCCAGCCUGGUGGCCCUCGUGUUCUGGCAGCGGGAGACAGACAAUAAAGAAACGAGUCCCUAUAUGGUCUGUAGGUUAUGACAGGUGACAUCGAGGACUGGUAGGGAGGGGAGGUGAGGAGCACUGGGAGGGAGCUGGGUAGACUUUGCAUGCUUUUUUUUUAGCAUAGGUUGCUCAAGAAAGUCCUGAGCAAG